GUUUUAUAAAGUAAGGUAAAGAAAUAGAAGGUAAGGUAGCAAAACCUUCCAACCCAAAAAAAGUGAGGGUUUCGGAGGUUUUAAAACCUUCGAAAAACCUUACCUCCAUUAAAAAACCUUCCUCCCAAACAAGCAUAGGUACUUUAAAAACCCAUCCCUUACCUCCAAAAACUUCCUCUCAAACAAGCUGUGAUUCAGAAUUUUAUAAGUAGGUAUCACAUAUGCCAAACUUGCAUUGUUGCUCAUACAAGUAUAAAUAUAACAAUUAGGUGAUGAGUGUAUUUCCAACUUUUCACAACUCUCUUCAGAAAAGCUUAUGCAUAUGAUCAUUUGAUUGUGAUGCAACUGAGGUCUCCAAUUACAAGCCUGCCGAUAUUUUUCUUCAUCUUUAUUGGAAUAUGGGAAUGAUUCAGUAUAUGCAUUAAGCCUUUCUUUGGUUUUUUUAAUUGU
rnacentral:misc_RNA from 1 species